rnacentral:rRNA from 1 species
GACGAACGCUGGCGGCGUGCUUAACACAUGCAAGUCGAACGAAGAGCGAUGGAAGCUUGCUUCUCUCAAUCUUAGUGGCGCACGGGUGAGUAACGCGUAAUCAACCUGCCCUUCAGAGGGGGACAACAGUUGGAAACGACUGCUAAUACCGCAUACGAUCUAACCUCGGCAUCGAGGAUAGAUGAAAGGUGGCCUCUACAUGUAAGCUAUCACUGAAGGAGGGGAUUGCGUCUGAUUAGCUAGUUGGAGGGGUAACGGCCCACCAAGGCGAUGAUCAGUAGCCGGUCUGAGAGGAUGAACGGCCACAUUGGGACUGAGACACGGCCCAGACUCCUACGGGAGGCAGCAGUGGGGAAUCUUCCGCAAUGGACGAAAGUCUGACGGAGCAACGCCGCGUGAGUGAUGACGGCCUUCGGGUUGUAAAGCUCUGUUAAUCGGGACGAAAGGCCUUCUUGCGAAUAGUGAGAAGGAUUGACGGUACCGGAAUAGAAAGCCACGGCUAACUACGU